ACUGGGUAAAUAACAGUCGUUCUAUUCUAAGCAUUAUUACGGACAAUAACGGUAGCGGGGUAGCCGCCGUUAGGGCAUAAAGCAUUAAUUUAUAGACCGCCUGGGCGUCCGAAGGCACGCGCCGCAGGCCCGCAAAAGAAGGCAACCUAGGGUUUCUAAGGGUGUCGAAAUCUCCUGCGAAGAAAACGAGAUUCCUCUAUCGUUUCUAGAUCCAGAAAAUAACGAUCCGUUUCAAAACCGUGGGAGGAGAAGCAUAAUGAGGAGUUAGAUCGGCUCAGUUCUCUCCUACGCGUCAGGUUUGGAUAUUCUUUUUCCGCCAAGAUGAGUUAUUUUAUAUGAUUCUCUGCCAGAUCUGUUUAUUCCAUCAUAUGUAACUAUUUUUAUGAUUUGAAAUAUGAAAUCAGUGCUAUCUUUUUAACAAAUUUUAUUGGAUACCGAAGUGGUGUGAGAACGGAUGCCAAAAGUUCGACAUCAUGACUGUUGACUGUUAUGGUUUACUACGCAAAAUUUGGAGAGAAAAGGUGGCA
rnacentral:lncRNA from 1 species